rnacentral:rRNA from 1 species
GACGAACGCUGGUGGCGUGCUUAACACAUGCAAGUCGAACGGAAAGGCCCUGCUUUUGUGGGGUGCUCGAGUGGCGAACGGGUGAGUAACACGUGAGUAACCUGCCCUUGACUUUGGGAUAACUUCAGGAAACUGGGGCUAAUACCGGAUAGGAGCUCCUGCUGCAUGGUGGGGGUUGGAAAGUUUCGGCGGUUGGGGAUGGACUCGCGGCUUAUCAGCUUGUUGGUGGGGUAGUGGCUUACCAAGGCUUUGACGGGUAGCCGGCCUGAGAGGGUGACCGGCCACAUUGGGACUGAGAUACGGCCCAGACUCCUACGGGAGGCAGCAGUGGGGAAUAUUGCACAAUGGGCGGAAGCCUGAUGCAGCAACGCCGCGUGCGGGAUGACGGCCUUCGGGUUGUAAACCGCUUUCGCCUGUGACGAAGCGUGAGUGACGGUAAUGGGUAAAGAAGCACCGGCUAACUACGUGCCAGCAGCCGCGGUGAUACGUAGGGUGCGAGCGUUGUCCGGAUUUAUUGGGCGUAAAGGGCUCGUAGGUGGUUGAUCGCGUCGGAAGUGUAAUCUUGGGGCUUAACCCUGAGCGUGCUUUCGAUACGGGUUGACUUGAGGAAGGUAGGGGAGAAUGGAAUUCCUGGUGGAGCGGUGGAAUGCGCAGAUAUCAGGAGGAACACCAGUGGCGAAGGCGGUUCUCUGGGCCUUUCCUGACGCUGAGGAGCGAAAGCGUGGGGAGCGAACAGGCUUAGAUACCCUGGUAGUCCACGCUGUAAACGGUGGGUACUAGGUGUGGGGUCCAUUCCACGGGUUCCGUGCCGUAGCUAACGCUUUAAGUACCCCGCCUGGGGAGUACGGCCGCAAGGCUAAAACUCAAAGGAAUUGACGGGGCCCCGCACAAGCGGCGGAGCAUGCGGAUUAAUUCGAUGCAACGCGUAGAACCUUACCUGGGUUUGACAUGGAUCGGGAGUGCUCAGAGAUGGGUGUGCCUCUUUUGGGGUCGGUUCACAGGUGGUGCAUGGCUGUCGUCAGCUCGUGUCGUGAGAUGUUGGGUUAAGUCCCGCAACGAGCGCAACCCUUGUUCACUGUUGCCAGCACGUUAUGGUGGGGACUCAGUGGAGACCGCCGGGGUCAACUCGGAGGAAGGUGGGGAUGACGUCAAGUCAUCAUGCCCCUUAUGUCCAGGGCUUCACGCAUGCUACAAUGGCUGGUACAGAGAGUGGCGAGCCUGUGAGGGUGAGCGGAUCUCGGAAAGCCGGUCUCAGUUCGGAUUGGGGUCUGCAACUCGACCUCAUGAAGUCGGAGUCGCUAGUAAUCGCAGAUCAGCAACGCUGCGGUGAAUACGUUCCCGGGGCU